CGCCUGGGGAGUGCGGCCCGCAAGGUUAAAAACUCAAAAUGAAUUGACGGGGGGCCGCACAAGCGGUGGAGCAUGUGGUUUAAUUCGACGCAACGCGAAGAACCUUACCUGGCCUUGACAUCCAGAGAGCUUUCCAGAGAUGGAUUGGUGCCUUCGGGAACUCUGAGACAGGUGCAGCAUGGCCGUCGUCAGCUCGUGUCGUGAGAUGUUGGGUUAAGUCCCGUAACGAGCGCAACCCCCAUCCCUGGUUGCCAGCAGGUAAUGCUGGGAACUCCAGGGAGACUGCCGGUGACAAACCGGAGGAAGGUGGGGAUGACGUCAGGUCAUCAUGGCCCUUACGGCCAGGGCUACACACGUGCUACAAUGGCGUGUACAGAGGGCUGCCAACUCGCGAGAGUGAGCCAAUCCCUUAAAACGCGUCGUAGUCCGGAUCGGAGUCUGCAACUCGACUCCGUGAAGUCGGAAUCGCUAGUAAUCGCGAAUCAGAAUGUCGCGGUGAAUACGUUCCCGGGCCUUGUACACACCGCCCGUCACACCAUGGGAGUGGAUUGCACCAGAAGUAGUUAGUCUAACCUUCGGGAGGACGAUUACCACGGUGUGGUCCAUGACUGGGGUGAAGUCGUAACAAGGUAACCGUA
rnacentral:rRNA from 1 species